AGAACGAACGCUGGCGGCAGGCUUAACACAUGCAAGUCGAGCGGGUAGCAAUACCAGCGGCAGACGGGUGAGUAACACGUGGGAACCUUCCUAGAGGUACGGAACAACGCAGGGAAACUUGCGCUAAUACCGUAUGUGCUCUUGCGAGGAAAGAUUUAUCGCCUUUAGACGGGCCCGCGUCGGAUUAGCUAGUUGGUGGGGUAAUGGCCUACCAAGGCGACGAUCCGUAGCUGAUCUGAGAGGAUGAUCAGCCACAUUGGGACUGAGACACGGCCCAAACUCCUACGGGAGGCAGCAGUGGGGAAUAUUGGACAAUGGGCGCAAGCCUGAUCCAGCCAUGCCGCGUGAGUGAUGACGGCCUUAGGGUUGUAAAGCUCUUUCGCUAGGGACGAUAAUGACGGUACCUAGACAAGAAGCCCCGGCUAACUUCGUGCCAGCAGCCGC
rnacentral:rRNA from 1 species